GGCUCCUAUUUUGUACUUGUUUCUUCUCUUGGGAAUUUAUUCGAACACCUUUCCUACACUUCCACUUUCCAUCUUACAAUCCAAACCCGCUUCUUCUUCCUCUCUCUCUCUCUCCCCCUUUUCAUCGAAACCACUUUUCCAAAUCAAUCCUUGAAACCCAUCAUCUGCCUUGCUCAAUUAAGCCCAGAGCUUCGAUCUCCACCUGGAAAUGGUUAUAAUCAAAGAGUUUCGAAUUGUAAUGCCUUUGUCAUUGGAGGAGUAUCAGAUUGCUCAGAUAUACAUGGUCUUAAAAAUGCAGCAACAGAGCAAGACUAGCACUGAAGGGGUUGAAGUUUUGGAGGACAAACUUAUUGAAGAUGAUGUAUUUGGAAAGUGUCAGUACUUGUCAAAAAUUUACAAACUGCAGAGCAAAGUUCCUGCUUGGCUUACUGCUUUUGCACGCAAAGAUGCUCUUGUCAUGCAAGAGGAAGCAUGGAAUGCAUACCCAAGAUGCAAAUCAGUAAUUAAGACCCCAUGCUUCAACAAGUUAAGUGUAACUAUUGAAACUGUUCACAAACCUGACAAUGGGCGAUCAGAGAAUGUUCAUGGUCUUUGCAAAGAACAACUAGCAGCUAGGGAGGUAGAAGUUAUUGACAUUGCUUCAUCAGCAAGGGACUGUUGGAGUUACAUAAUUGGAACUAACAAUGUAAAUCUGUCCAAAUUCAAAUCAGAAAAGACUGGUCGUGGUCCACUCUCACAGGGGUGGCAGGAUCAGCAUAAUCCAGUUAUGACGGCGUACAAGUUGGUGAUAAUAGAUCUCCAUAUUGGGGCUUUGGUAAUAGACUUGAACAAACUCUGCUUGCGGGUGAAAGGGCACUUUUUCUUGAAAGUCACCAUAAUUGUUUCAUUUGGAUAGAUGAAUGGUUUGGGAUGACAGAGGAAGCAAUACGUGAGUUUGAACGAGGGAGUUAUUCCUUAUUGAAUGAGAAACUUGACAUGCAAACCUGGCCACCAAGCAAGGAGGAAUCGGAUGGAAAAUGAAGAUGUUCACUUGACAGUGAGGAAAUCUACAGCAGGUCCCAAUUUGAAUAUGAGAAAUAUGGGAUUUGUUGUGCUACACCAGAAGUAAAUUAUAGUAUUUCUGGUGACACGCAUGGUGAUGAAAAUCCAUUGGAAAAGGAGAUUGUAAACUUUUACAAAAUGUCAAAUUGUUUCUGAAUAUUCAUUUCAUGUAAAAGUUUGUUAUCUCCAAAAAAAAAGUAACAUUAUGAAUUAAGAAAAUAUUCGUCAUUUUAUAAUCUAAUUUCGUCGAGUUAUAAUGUAAUUGCAAUUGCAUUAUUGAGAUGUCAUUGUUCUUUUCUUU